rnacentral:rRNA from 1 species
CCUUAACCUGCUAACUAGGCCGACGGAUCUGCGGAUUCGUUAGGCGUUCUUAGAGGGACAAACCACGGCUAGUGGUUGGAAGUUUGAGGCAAUAACAGGUCUGUGAUGCCCUUAGAUGUUCUGGGCCGCACGCGCGCUACACUGACACAGCCAGCGAGUAAAAGUGCCUUGACCGAGAGGUCUGGGAAAUCUUGUGAAACUGUGUCGUGCUGGGGAUAGACCAUUGCAAUUGUUGGUCUUGAACGAGGAAUUCCUAGUAAGCGCAAGUCAUCAGCUUGCGUUGAUUACGUCCCUGCCCUUUGUACACACCGCCCGUCGUUACUACCGAUUGAAUGGCUUAGUGAGGCCCUCGGAUUGGCAGGCACUGUCUCUGGAUGGGUGUGGGCUGAGAAGUUGGUCAAACUUGGUCAUUUAGAGGAAGUACAAGUCG